rnacentral:tRNA from 1 species
CAGGAAGUAGUUUAAAUAAGAAUUUCAGCUUUGGGUGUUGAAGGUGGGACAUAUGUCUUCUUCUUGA